rnacentral:rRNA from 1 species
GACGAACGCUGGCGGCGUGCUUAACACAUGCAAGUCGAACGAUGAAGCCCAGCUUGCUGGGUGGAUUAGUGGCGAACGGGUGAGUAACACGUGAGUAACCUGCCCUUAACUCUGGGAUAAGCCUGGGAAACUGGGUCUAAUACCGGAUAGGAGCGUCCACCGCAUGGUGGGUGUUGGAAAGAUUUAUCGGUUUUGGAUGGACUCGCGGCCUAUCAGCUUGUUGGUGAGGUAAUGGCUCACCAAGGCGACGACGGGUAGCCGGCCUGAGAGGGUGACCGGCCACACUGGGACCGAGACACGGCCCAGACUCCUACGGGAGGCAGCAGUGGGGAAUAUUGCACAAUGGGCGAAAGCCUGAUGCAGCGACGCCGCGUGAGGGAUGACGGCCUUCGGGUUGUAAACCUCUUUCAGUAGGGAAGAAGCGAAAGUGACGGUACCUGCAGAAGAAGCACCGGCUAACUACGUG